rnacentral:rRNA from 1 species
AAAAAAAAAGGNNNNGUCAGGGUGGGCCCAUUGCAGUACGAAUCGCCCUUAAGUUGACCUGGCUCAGAGCGAACGUGAGCGGCGGGCCUAACACAUGCAAGUCGAACGCGAAAGCCCUUCGGGGUUAGUAGAGUGGCGUCCGGGUGAGUAACACGUAGGCAAUCUUCCCUCGAGUGGGGGACAACCGCCCGAAAGGGUGGCUAAUACCGCAUAAGACCAAGUCCACCCCGGUGGAUGAGGUAAAAGGUGGCCUCUACUUGUAAGCUACCGCUUGAGGAUGAACCUGCGUACCAUCAGCUAGUUGGUGAGGUAACGGCUCACCAAGGCUUUGACGGGUAGCUGGUCUGAGAGGACGACCAGCCACACUGGGACUGAGACACGGCCCAGACACCUACGGGUGGCAGCAGUCGAGAAUUUUUGACAAUGGGGGAAACCCUGAUCGAGCGACGCCGCGUGGAGGAUGAAGGUCUUCGGAUUGUAAACUCCUGUCAUUGGGGAACAAGGUGCAUACGUUAACUGCGUGUGCAUUGAUAGUACCCGAAGAGGAAGAGACGGCUAACUCUGUGCCAGCAGCCGCGGUAAUACAGAGGUCUCAAGCGUUGUUCGGAUUCAUUGGGCGUAAAGGGUGCGUAGGCGGCGCGGUAAGUCGGGUGUGAAAUCUCGGAGCUUAACUCCGAAACUGCAUUCGAUACUGCCGUGCUUGAGGACUGGAGAGGAGACUGGAAUUUACGGUGUAGCGGUGAAAUGCGUAGAUAUCGUAAGGAAGACCAGUGGCGAAGGCGGGUCUCUGGACAGUUCCUGACGCUGAGGCACGAAGGCCAGGGGAGCAAACGGGAUUAGAUACCCCGGUAGUCCUGGCAGUAAACGGUGCACGUUUGGUGUGGGAGGAUUCGACCCCUUCUGCGCCGGAGCUAACGCGUUAAACGUGCCGCCUGGGGAGUACGGUCGCAAGAUUAAAACUCAAAGAAAUUGACGGGGGCCCGCACAAGCGGUGGAGUAUGUGGCUCAAUUCGAUGCAACGCGAAGAACCUUACCAGGCCUUGACAUGCAUCUCUAAGUUGGUGAAAGCCAGCGAGUCCCGAAAGGGACAAUUUGCACAGGUGCUGCAUGGCUGUCGUCAGCUCGUGUCGUGAGAUGUUGGGUUAAGUCCCGCAACGAGCGCAACCCCUGUGAACUGUUGCCACGGAACCGAGAGGUUCCAGCACUCUGUUCAGACUGCCCCGCUCUAACGGGGAGGAAGGUGGGGACGACGUCAAGUCAGUAUGGCCCUUACGGCCUGGGCUGCACACGUACUACAAUGCCCAGCACAGAACGAUCCAAGACCGCAAGGUGGAGGAAAUCACUAAAACUGGGCCCAGUUCAGAUUGAAGUCUGCAACUCGACUUCAUGAAGCCGGA